rnacentral:tRNA from 1 species
AGCAGCUUGGCUUAGUGGAUAGAGCACUCAGAGGUCACGGGUUCUAAUCCCGGAUCUGCCA